GAUGAACGCUGGCGGCGUGCCUAAUACAUGCAAGUCGAGCGAACGGACGAGAAGCUUGCUUUUCUGAUGUUAGCGGCGGACGGGUGAGUAACACGUGGAUAACCUACCUAUAAGACUGGGAUAACUUCGGGAAACCGGCGCUAAUACCGGAUAAUCUUUUGAACCGCAUGGUUCAAAAGUGAAAGACGGUCUUGCUGUCACUUAUAGAUGGAUCCGCGCUGCAUUAGCUAGUUGGUAAGGUAACGGCUUACCAAGGCAACGAUGCAUAGCCGACCUGAGAGGGUGAUAGGCGACACUGGAACUGGACCACGGUCCAUGCGCCUACGGGAGGCAGCAGUAGGGAAUCGUACGCAGUGGGCGAAAGCCUGACGGAGCAACGCCGCGUGAGUGAUGAAGGUCUUCGGAGCGUAAAACUCUGUUAUUAGGGAAGAACAUAUGUGUAAGUAACUGUGCACAUCUUGACGGUACCUAAUCAGAAAGCCACGGCUAACUACGUG
rnacentral:rRNA from 1 species